UUUGCUUGCCCCUUGUGAUUCCUCAUUAUGGGGAGAGAGUAGGGGGCUUAGAAGGAGGGUUUUAAAGCAACUUUUUCUUGGCAAAGAAUACACCAAAGAUGGAUCUAGAAUUUGAAGUCAAUUUGUACUAUUUUAUUGGAUUGUUGGAUCUAUAUCUUUGCAUAAAAAGUGUUAAUUGGGAGAUUUGAAUGAAGUUGAGAACAAAAAGGAUCAAAAGAUCAAGAAAACAUGGGUUUGGAAGAAUUGGAAGGGCUUAUUAUUUCAUGGUAAGUACUUUGUGUAAGUGUUAUUUGGAUAUUUUCAAAUUUGACUUGCUCUUUGCAAGGUUUGCAUUGUUUUUUGGAAUUGUUUGUUAAUUAGCUAUAUAACUUUGGUUCCCAAAAGACAAUUGUGUUAUAUGGGUUUAGUUCUCGUAGAAGUUGCAUCUUUACUAAUAUCGUUGUUGUUUGGAUUUGGAUUAGUAACGUAUUUAGAUGCCUCCAUAUUGUUGGAAAGUUGUUCUCGUCGCUUUCCAACCACUUGCUUGGGUGGUAGAGUUAGUGGGGAGAUGUUUCUCAAAUAGGAUAGUUGGUUAAAUUGAUAGAAAAAGACUUGUUGUGGGGUGAGUGUUUGGAACGUUCGGAUUGAAUAUGAAAAUUUUGAUUCACGUAUUGAAGAAAUUACAAUCCAAAUAAGAUUUUAAUGGAUUGAAUUUUUAAAUUACGAUUUUGGAUUGAUCGAUUUGGAUGUUUUGAAUUUAACUUUUGAGCCUUUAAGUUCGUUCAUAACAAUCAACUAUCCCAAUUCACCUAAUACUUUGCUUUUUAAUUGUGAUCACUCUAUUGAUCAUGUCGUGUAAUCAGAGAGGGAGUCGGGAUUAGGAGUUUGAGGUUCUAAAUUUUAGUAUAGAAGAGGAUUUUGGGGAUCUAGAUCUUAGGAUAGAAGAAAUGAGUUUGGAGAAUCUAAAUUAUUGGACAAAAGAGAUGAUGCUUCAUUUUUAAAAAAAGAGAAACUUUUGUUGAUAGUGUUGUUAGAAUCCACAACAUUAGUGUUUCCAUGAGUCAUCAAACUAUUUUAUAAGGGAUUCACAAGUGAUAUAUAAUUUUCUAAUACAAAUACAGAGUCUACAAAAAAGUUAUUGAAUUGUCUGAACCCACAAACCCCCACUUAGCUUACCAUUGAGUCGUCAAUCAAUUUUAUAAGGGAUUCACAAGUUAUACAUAAUUUUAUGAUGCCAAUAUAGAGUCCACGAUAAAGUUAUUGAAUUCGUCUGAACCCACGAACCCCACUUAGCUCUGCCUUUGAGUGUAAUUUCAUAUUGAACCUAAUAAUAUAAUGAGUAAGUCAUAAGGUACUAAUUUUAUUGGACCUCGAAAGAGUUGGACUUGUUAGUAUUGCACAUAUGACAUCGAUAGGGUUGAAUAUAAGGUGCAUCCAAUGAUUUGGCCUAGUGGUCAACAAAGUGGGUUGAGAAUCAUGAGAUUUCAAGUUUAAAUUCUAGCGGAGAGAAAAUUAGUAGGUGAUUUCUUCUCAUAUGCCUAUUUGUGUUUGGAUGUCUAUUCGUGUUUGGGCAAAUAUCAUUGAUAUAUAUUGUGAGAGUGUUGUUUGCAAUCAAGAAUUGACUCAUCUAAAAAUGAGUAGUAGAAAUGAGGAUGUUUAAAUAAAUAUAUGUGCAUAAUAAGGAAAGAUAGGAUUACAAAAGAAACUAUUCGAGAUAAGGUGUAUCUGCAAUAGACAAGAUGUGUGAUGUGACACUAAGAUGGUUUGGACAUACGAAGAACUGGCACUUCUAAAAGUGAGUUGUGAACAUUAGGAUGCUUAAAUGAAUAUAUGUGCAUAUUAGGAGAGAUAGGAUCAGAAAAGAAACUAUUCAGGACAAGGUAGAGAGAGUGGCCUUGCAAUGGACAAAAUGAGUGAAACGACACUAAGAUGGUUUGGACAUGUGAGGAAUAAAUGUUCCAAUCAAAAGGUGUGGUAGACAAAAAAAAGUCUUGGAUUGAGGUUAUUAGACAUGAUAUGACACACAUGUGGUUUAUCAAACACAUGAUGCUAGAUAUGAAGAUAUAGAGGUUGAUGAUUAAGAUUUAAGAUUGAAGAUUGAAGAUUAGUAUGUAGUUGAGUUUUGUUUGGUUCCCCGAUCGUUAUUAGUAUUGUUACUCUCCUCCUGGUUUUAUUAUUUGGUUUUUAUGUUACCCGUUGUUUACUAUGCUUCAAUUAUCGUACAUUUUGUUAUUAUUGCUUACUUUUUUCUUAAUUGUUUUCAGCACAUCUUUGUUAUUAUAUUUGUUUUACUUUUUUUGAUAUAUUUAACUUGAGUCGAGAAUCUAUUGAAUCAACAUAUUUAUCAAGAUAGAGGCAAAGAUUCAUACACGCCCUCUUUUCAAAACCUCAUUAUGGAAUAACUAAAGGGGUCGUUUGAUAGGGUGUAUAAGUUGUAUUAAUGAUGUUUGCAUUAGUUAUGUCGAGAUUAUUUUUUAUGCAUUGUUUGGUUUUGGUGUAUUAAAAAAUAACAUGCAUUCCAUAAUUUUUUUAAAAAAAAUAUUUACAAAGAUAUCCUCCACUUAAAAAAUGUAGAAGAAAGUUUUGAGAGGAAAUUUGGUCUUUAUAUGUUAAUGCAUGCAUUAAAUUUCUUUGCACUACUAAUACUAUGGAUUUUCAUGUAUUAGCAAUGCACACUUAGGGGUCGUUUGGUAGAGUGUAUUAAAAAAAAUAAUGCAUGUAUUAGCCUUGUGUAGUACUAGUACAUUGUUUGGUACUCUUUUCCAACCUAUGUAUAACUAAUACUUGCAUUAGUUAUAUACUCUAUUAUGUAUUAAAGUGUGUAUUGCUAAUACCAUGGAUUUCUAGGUAUUAGCAAUACAAUGAUUUUAACGCAUGCAUUAACUUAAUUAAAGACCCAAUUAAUCCUCAAUACCUUUUUUUUAUAUCUUUUCCAUCAUAAUAGUGAAGGGUAUCUUUGUAAAUAAUUUUUUUAAUGCAUCAAACCAAACAAUACAUAAAAAUAAUAUAUGUAUUAUUAAUGCAAGCAUUACUAAUACAUGCAUUGCUAAUGCAAGCAUUAUUAAUACACUUUAUUUAGCAUUAUUUUUAUACAAUCUACUAAACAAUUCCUUAAUACAUUAGUGUAUAACUAAUGCAGACAAUAACUGUACAUAGCAUGAAAAAGUGUAUCAAACAAAUAUUACUUAUACAUAAAGCUAAUGCAUGCAGAAGUGUAUCAAAUAAGAUAUAUUACUAAUACACAAAACUAAUGUAUGCAUUAUUUUUGCGAUUGCACUACCAUCUAACCCUCAACUCGGUGCAAUUGAAUUCUCCGUGAAGAUGCGGAGUACCAACGACUAGACGGUAAGACCCUGUGCACCUUAACUAUAGUUCGCAGUGACAACCUUAAUCGAAUAUGUAGGAUAGGUGGGGAGGUGGUGACACACAACGACCAAUCCUGAAAGACCAUUCUUUCGUCUAAGGAUGCCUAAUCGUCGCACCGAUCAUUUGAGGGGAGGCGGGAUACUGCGAGGUGGGUAGUUUAUCUGGGGCAGAUGCCUCCUAACGAGUAACGGAGGUGUGCGAAGGUAGGCUCAAGCUAAGAUGCUACUCAUGAGCUUAAUGGUACAAGUCUGACUGUGAGACUGGUCAAACUGAGACGAAAGUCGGCCAUAGUGAAAGUAUAUUGUCGUUGCUGCGUGUACGUCUUAGUUUUAGUGCACUAUAUUGAUUUUCAAGAAUGACCAAUUUUAGAGCAAUAAUUCAAUUGAUGCUUCAAACUUUGUAGACACGCAGGGUCGUUUAGUUUGAAGACAUCUUAGGAUAAGA
rnacentral:lncRNA from 1 species